CAAUAGCGUAUAUUAAAGUUGUUGCAGUUAAAAAGCUCGUAGUUGGAUUUCUGAUGUCUUUUUUCUUCCUUUCUUGUUCACUAAAAGUGAAUGUUAGGUUUGAUUGGACAUCUUCCUUCCCUAUUAAUUUGGUUUCUAAGCAUUAACUUGUUUGGGAGUCAAAUGGGGAUCUUUUACUGUGAAAAAAUUAGAGUGUUCAAAGCAAGUAUUUAUUUUCUUGAAUACAUUAGCAUGGAAUAAUAAGAUAGGACUUUGGUUAUAUUUUGUUGGUUUGCAAACUGAGGUAAUGAUUAAUAGGAACAUAUUGGGGAUAUCUGUAUUUUUUAGUCAGAGGUGAAAUUCUUGGAUUUAAGAAAGACAAACUACAGCGAAAGCAUUUAUCAAGGAUGUUUUCAUUGA
rnacentral:rRNA from 1 species